rnacentral:rRNA from 1 species
AGCAGCCGCGGUAAUUCCAGCUCCAAUAGCGUAUAUUAAAGUUGUUGCAGUUAAAAAGCUCGUAGUUGAAUUUCGGGAUUUAUCCGUUGGUCGGGCUUUUGGGUCUGUACAGGCGUGAUGGAUUUCUACCUUCUGAAUAUCCGGCAUGUCAUUAAUUUGGUGCAUUGGGGAAGCAGGACUGUUACCUUGAAAAAUUAGAGUGCUUAAAGCAGGCUAUUGCCUGAAUACAUUAGCAUGGAAUAAUGAAAUAGGACGGCAUGGUUCUAUUUGUUGGUUUCUAGGAUCACCGUAAUGAUUAAUAGGGAUAGUUGGGGGCAUUAGUAUUCAAUUGUCAGAGGUGAAAUUCUUGGAUUUAUUGAAGACUAACUUCUGCGAAAGCAUUUGCCAAGGAUGUUUUCAUUAAUCAAGAACGAAAGUUAGGGGAUCGAAGACGAUCAGAUACCGUCGUAGUCUUAAACCAUAAACUAUGCCGAACUAGGGAAUCGGACGAUGUUAAUUUUUAAUGACUCGUUCCGCG